rnacentral:rRNA from 1 species
AUUGAACGCUGGCGGCAUGCCUUACACAUGCAAGUCGAACGGUAACAGGUCUUCGGAUGCUGACGAGUGGCGAACGGGUGAGUAAUACAUCGGAACGUGCCUAGUAGUGGGGGAUAACUACUCGAAAGAGUGGCUAAUACCGCAUGAGAUCUACGGAUGAAAGCGGGGGAUCGCAAGACCUUGUGCUACUAGAGCGGCCGAUGGCAGAUUAGGUAGUUGGUGGGAUAAAAGCUUACCAAGCCGACGAUCUGUAGCUGGUCAGAGAGGACGAUCAGCCACACUGGGACUGAGACACGGCCCAGACUCCGACGGGAGGCAGCAGUGGGGAAUUUUGGACAAUGGGCGCAAGCCUGAUCCAGCAAUGCCGCGUGCAGGAUGAAGGCCUUCGGGUUGUAAACUGCUUUUGUACGGAACGAAAAGCCCUGGGUUAAUACCCUGGGGUCAUGACGGUACCGUAAGAAUAAGCACCGGCUAACUACGUGCCAGCCGCCGCAGUAACAC